UAGGAAAUAAUAUAAAGGAAGUAUGAAGGGUUUUGAUCCCUUUAGUACAGGUUCAAGUCCUGUUUUUCUAGG
rnacentral:tRNA from 1 species